rnacentral:RNase_P_RNA from 2 species
GAAGCCAAUCAGAUGAUCGCGGGGGUAAGGACCGAAAGGUCGCCUCUGAGGAAAGUCCGAGCUCCACAGGGCAAGGUGCUGGGUAACACCCAGUGGGGGGAACCCCAAGGAAAGUGCAACAGAGAGAUACCGCCGAUAACGGAGGUCAGUUGUCAGAGGCCGGAGGUCAGAAUAAGUUCGUUCUAAUCCGAUUUCUGGCUUCCGACGACUGACUUCCGAGUAGGUAAGGGUGGAAAGGCGAGGUAAGAGCUCACCGGCAGCUAGGUGACUGGCUGGCCAUGUAAACCCCACCUGGAGCAAGACUGAAUAGGGGAACUAUGAACGGCCCGUUUUUGUUCCCGGGUAAGGUCGCUAGAGGCCGUCGGUAACGGCGGUUCGAGAUAGAUGAUCAUCACCUCCAUAUGGAGGAACAGAACUCGGCUUAUAGAUUGACUUCGCGU